rnacentral:rRNA from 1 species
AGUGAACGCUGGCGGUAGGCCUAACACAUGCAAGUCGAACGGCAGCACAGUAAGAGCUUGCUCUUACGGGUGGCGAGUGGCGGACGGGUGAGGAAUACAUCGGAAUCUACUUUUUCGUGGGUGAUAACGUAGGGAAACUUACGCUACUACCUCAUACGACCUACGGGUGAAAUCAGGGGAUCUUCGGACCUUUCGCGAUUCAAUUAGCCGAUGUCGGAUUAGCUAGUUGGCGUGGUAAAGGCCCACCAAGGCGACGAUCCGUAGCUGGUCUGAGAGGAUGAUCAGCCACACUGGAACUGAGACACGGUCCAGACUCCUACGGGAGGCAGCAGUGGGGAAUAUUGGACAAUGGGCGCAAGCCUGAUCCAGCCAUACCGCGUGAGUGAAGAAGGCCUUCGGGUUGUAAAGCCCUGUUGUUGGGAAAGAAAAGAAGCAGGUUAAAACCCCGAUGUUCUGACGGUACCCAAAGAAUAAGCACCGGCUAACUUCGUG